ACGGGAGGCAGCAGUAGGGAAUCUUCCGCAAUGGGCGAAAGCCUGAUGGAGCAACGCCGCGUGUGUGAUGAAGGGUUUCGGCUCGUAAAACACUGUUGUAAGAGAAGAAUGACAUUGAGAGUAACUGUUCAAUGUGUGACGGUAUCUUACCAGAAAGGAACGGCUAAAUACGUGCCAGCAGCCGCGGUAAU
rnacentral:rRNA from 1 species